rnacentral:rRNA from 1 species
UACGUAGGGGGCAAGCGUUAUCCGGAUUUACUGGGUGUAAAGGGAGCGUAGACGGCAGCGCAAGUCUGGAGUGAAAUCCCGGGGCUCAACCCCGGAACUGCUUUGGAAACUGUGCAGCUGGAGUGCAGGAGAGGUAAGCGGAAUUCCUAGUGUAGCGGUGAAAUGCGUAGAUAUUAGGAGGAACACCGGUGGCGAAGGCGGCUUACUGGACUGUAACUGACGUUGAGGCUCGAAAGCGUG